CACGAAGCAAUCGGAAGUGGUUCCAAGAAAAGCCUCUAAGCUUCAGUCAUACGAGACCGUACCGCAAACCGACACAGGUGGGCGAGAUGAGUAUUCUAAGGCGCUUGAGAGAACUCGGGAGAAGGAACUCGGCAAAUUGGUACCGUAACUUCGGGAAAAGGUACGCCCCGGUAGCUUGAAUGGUUUACUCCAUGAGGGUGAAAGGGUUGCAAUAAACUGGUGGCUGCGACUGUUUAAUAAAAACACAGCACUCUGCAAACACGAAAGUGGACGUAUAGGGUGUGACGCCUGCCCGGUGCUGGAAGAUUAAAUGAUGGGGUGCAAGCUCUUGAUUGAAGUCCCAGUAAACGGCGGCCGUAACUAUAACGGUCCUAAGGUAGCGAAAUUCCUUGUCGGGUAAGUUCCGACCUGCACGAAUGGCGUAACGAUGGCCACACUGUCUCCUCCCGAGACUCAGCGAAGUUGAAAUGUUUGUGAUGAUGCAAUCUACCCGCGGCUAGACGGAAAGACCCCAUGAACCUUUACUGUAGCUUUGCAUUGGACUUUGAACCAAUCUGUGUAGGAUAGGUGGGAGGCUUUGAAGCGGGGACGCUAGUUCUCGUGGAGCCAACCUUGAAAUACCACCCUGGUUUGUUUGAGGUUCUAACCUUGGUCCGUUAUCCGGAUCGGGGACAGUGCAUGGUAGGCAGUUUGACUGGGGCGGUCUCCUCCUAAAGUGUAACGGAGGAGUUCGAAGGUACGCUAGAUACGGUCGGACAUCGUGUUGAUAGUGCAAUGGCAUAAGCGUGCUUAACUGCGAGACUGACAAGUCGAGCAGGUACGAAAGUAGGACAUAGUGAUCCGGUGGUUCUGUAUGGAAGGGCCAUCGCUCAACGGAUAAAAGGUACUCUGGGGAUAACAGGCUGAUUCCUCCCAAGAGUUCAUAUCGACGGGGGAGUUUGGCACCUCGAUGUCGGCUCAUCACAUCCUGGGGCUGUAGCCGGUCCCAAGGGUAUGGCUGUUCGCCAUUUAAAGUGGUACGUGAGCUGGGUUUAAAACGUCGUGAGACAGUUUGGUCCCUAUCUGCCGUGGGCGUUGGAAAUUUGAAGGGGGCUGCUCCUAGUACGAGAGGACCGGAGUGGACGAACCUCUGGUGUACCGGUUGUCACGCCAGUGGCAUUGCCGGGUAGCUAAGUUCGGAAGAGAUAACCGCUGAAAGCAUCUAAGCGGGAAACUUGCCUUGAGAUGAGAUUUCCCAGAGCCUUGAGCUCUUUGAAGGGUCGUUCGAGACCAGGACGUUGAUAGGCUGGGUGUGGAAGUGCAGUAAUGCAUUAAGCUAACCAGUACUAAUUGCCCGUACGGCUUGUCCCU
rnacentral:rRNA from 1 species